rnacentral:rRNA from 1 species
UACGAAGGGGGCUAGCGUUGCUCGGAAUCACUGGGCGUAAAGCGCACGUAGGCGGAUCUUUAAGUCAGGGGUGAAAUCCUGGAGCUCAACUCCAGAACUGCCUCCGAUACUGAAUGUCUUCGAGUCCGGGAGAGGUGAGUGGAACUGCGAGUGUAGAGGUGAAAUUCGUAGAUAUUCGCAAGAACACCAGUGGCGAAGGCGGCUCACUGGCCCGGUACUGACGCUGAGGUGCGAAAGCGUGGGGAGCGAACAGG